GAUCGAUUGUUCUGUUCAUCUGCGCCAACAUCCUCAUUCAUCGUUAAUCUUCAAUUUCUCCAACUACUCAUCUAUGUUCUCAUCAAUCUUCAAUUACUCCCCCAUCUACCACCCUUACAUAUGCCCUAUAUCUACCCACAAACUUCAAACAAGCGACAUCAGCAGCUUACCAGCGACAGCGACAUCAGCAGCUUUUGCUCCGGCGGCCCUUCUUCUUCCACACUCCAAGAGGUCGCAUUUACAUUCUAAAGGGAAUGAGGAGAUGAUAUAUACAAGGGGAAUUGACGAAUGUUUGUUUUUUUUCUAACUGAGAAUUGACUGGUUUUCUUUUCUUUUUCUAAAACUGAUGUCGAAUGUUUGUUUGUUUUUUUUCUAACUGAGAAUGUUUGUUUAUUUUCAAACCGAGAAUGUUAUUUAAUUUACUGAUGUCGAAUAUUUCGUAAAAUGUUUUUCAGUUGCAUCGACGAUGAAGUUUUGUUAAGCAGUAUCGAGCUCCACUCUACAAUGAUAUGGAGUUGCACUCUGCAAAGAAACGCAUACAACUUUUUAAGAAACGAAUAUGUGGUACAAGUGGACUACACUACUUUCGUAAAAAGUUGAAAAACUCGUGGGGCGAAUGGGGACUUCAAGGAACUACAUGGGUCGGGAGUGACUUUUUCGACGAGGCUUGUGUACCAAGUAUUUGAGGAGGUUGAUUUCUCUUAACUUAACUGAUGUUUAUUUUGUUUAAAGUAGACUUAGUUCUCGAUUUUAGUUAUUAUUUACAGACAUUGUGUAAUGCAUUAGCAAAGUUAGUGCUUUCUUUGUAAUGGGUUUGUUUAUUUUGUUCAUGUUGGUGCUAUUUGUUUUCCUUUUGUUUGUAAUGCUACUAACUUUCCUUGCUAGUUUUACAUAAAUUGCUGUUCAAAAAGUGUUUCCUUC